rnacentral:rRNA from 1 species
AAGCUUGAGUCUCGUAGAGGGGGGUAGAAUUCCAGGUGUAGCGGUGAAAUGCGUAGAGAUCUGGAGGAAUACCGGUGGCGAAGGCGGCCCCCUGGACGAAGACUGACGCUCAGGUGCGAAAGCGUGGGGAGCAAACAGGAUUAGAUACCCUGGUAGUCCACGCCGUAAACGAUGUCGACUUGGAGGUUGUGCCCUUGAGGCGUGGCUUCCGGAGCUAACGCGUUAAGUCGACCGCCUGGGGAGUACGGCCGCAAGGUUAAAACUCAAAUGAAUUGACGGGGGCCCGCACAAGCGGUGGAGCAUGUGGUUUAAUUCGAUGCAACGCGAAGAACCUUACCUGGUCUUGACAUCCACAGAACCUUGUAGAGAUACGAGGGUGCCUUCGGGAACUGUGAGACAGGUGCUGCAUGGCUGUCGUCAGCUCGUGUUGUGAAAUGUUGGGUUAAGUCCCGCAACGA